rnacentral:rRNA from 1 species
UACAGAGGUCUCAAGCGUUGUUCGGAUUCAUUGGGCGUAAAGGGUGCGUAGGUGGCGGGGUAAGUCAGGUGUGAAAUCUCGAGGCUCAACCUCGAAACUGCACUUGAUACUGCCUUGCUCGAGUACUGGAGAGGAGAUUGGAAUUUACGGUGUAGCAGUGAAAUGCGCAGAUAUCGGGAGGAACACCAAUGGCGAAGGCAGCUCGCUGGGACGGUACUGACGCUGAGACGCGAAAGCGUGGGGAGCAAACAGG